rnacentral:lncRNA from 1 species
AAACAAAGCGGGGGACUAUAUCGCAACGCACAAAUUAUAUGGGGGCUGAGUGGGAAAUACUCCCUCCCUUCCAAAGCGUUUUAUGCGGAUCAAAUCGAAACAAAAAUAAAAUAAAAGAUUAAAGUUAAAAAGGAAAUAAAAAUAAAAAGGGUAUUAAAUUGAAAUACCGCGCAAAACAAGAAGGACUCGUCGCGCAAUUACCCCUCCCCCUACCAAAC